rnacentral:rRNA from 1 species
GGGGAAUAUUGGACAAUGGGGGCAACCCUGAUCCAGCAAUUCUGUGUGCACGAUGAAGGUUUUCGGAUUGUAAAGUGCUUUCAGCAGGGAAGAAAAAAAUGACGGUACCUGCAGAAGAAGCGACGGCUAAAUACGUGCCAGCAGCCGCGGUAAUACGUAUGUCGCAAGCGUUAUCCGGAAUUAUUGGGCAUAAAGGGCAUCUAGGCGGCCAGAUAAGUCUGGGGUGAAAACUUGCGGCUCAGCCGCAAGCCUGCCCUGGAAACUAUGUGGCUAGAGUACUGGAGAGGUGGACGGAGCUGCACGAGUAGAGGUGAAAUUCGUAGAUAUGUGCAGGAAUGCCGAUGAUGAAGAUAGUUCACUGGACGGUAACUGACGCUGAAGUGCGAAAGCUAGGGGAGCAAACAGGAUUAGAUACCCUGGUAGUCCUAGCUGUAAACGAUGAUUACUGGGUGUGGGCAUGAAGAGUGUCCGUGCCGAAGCUAAUGCGAUAAGUAAUCCGCCUGGGGAGUACGGCCGCAAGGCUG